rnacentral:rRNA from 1 species
CCUACGGGGGGCUGCAGUGGGGAAUAUUGGACAAUGGGGGCAACCCUGAUCCAGCCAUGCCGCGUGUGUGAAGAAGGCCCUCGGGUUGUAAAGCACUUUCAGUGAGGAAGAACGCCUGGUGGUUAAUACCCAUCAGGAAAGACAUCACUCACAGAAGAAGCACCGGCUAACUCCGUGCCAGCAGCCGCGGUAAUACGGAGGGUGCGAGCGUUAAUCGGAAUUACUGGGCGUAAAGCGCGCGUAAGUGGCUUGAUAAGCCGGUUGUGAAAGCCCCGGGCUCAACCUGGGAACGGCAUCCGGAACUGUCAAGCUAGAGUGCAGGAGAGGAAGGUAGAAUUCCCGGUGUAGCGGUGAAAUGCGUAGAGAUCGGGAGGAAUACCAGUGGCGAAGGCGGCCUUCUGGACUGACACUGACACUGAGGUGCGAAAGCGUGGGUAGCAAACAGGAUUAGAUACCCGAGUAGUC